CCGAGUUUACAACUCCCAAACCCCUGUGUACAUACCACUUGUUGCCUCGGCGGAUCAGCCCGCUCCCGGUAAAACGGGACGGCCCGCCAGAGGACCCCUAAACUCUGUUUCUAUAUGUACUUCUGAGUAAAACCAUAAAUAAAUCA
rnacentral:misc_RNA from 1 species